CCUACGGGUGGCAGCAGUAGGGAAUUUUUCACAAUGGGCGAAAGCCUGAUGGAGCAAUGCCGCGUGAAUGAUGAAGGUCUUAUAGAUGGUAAAAUUCUUUUAUUUGGGAAGAAAAACUAAAGUAGGAAAUGACUUUAGUCUGACUGUACCAUUUGAAUAAGUAUCGGCUAACUAUGUGCCAGCAGCCGCGGUAAUAGAUAGGAUGCAAGCGUUAUCCGGAUUUACUGGGCUAAAAACGGGCGCAGGCGGGUUAACAAGCUUGGUAUGAAAGGCUUUUGCUUAACGAAAGAGUGUAUCAGAAACUGUGAGACUAGAGUGUAGUAGAGAGUACUGGAAUUCCGUGUGGAGCGGUGGAAUGCGUAGAUAUAUGGAAGAACACCAGUGGCGAAGGCGAGAACUUAGGCUAUCACUGACGCUUAGGCUCGAAAGUGUGGGGAGCAAAUAGGAUUAGAUACCCCAGUAGUC
rnacentral:rRNA from 1 species